UACAGAGGGGGCGAGCGUUGUUCGGAAUUACUGGGCGUAAAGGGCGCGUAGGCGGCCAACUAAGUCAGACGUAAAAAUCCCUCGGCUCAACCGGGGAACUGCGUCUGAUACUGGAUGGCUUGAAUUCGGGAGAGGGAUGCGGAAUUCCGAGGUGUAGCGGUGAAAUGCGUAGAGUAUCUGGAGGAACACCGGUGGCGAAGGCGGCAUCCUGGCCG
rnacentral:rRNA from 1 species